AUCGACGGCGGUGUUUGGCACCUCGAUGUCGGCUCAUCACAUCCUGGGGCUGAAGUAGGUCCCAAGGGUAUGGCUGUUCGCCAUUUAAAGUGGUACGCGAGCUGGGUUUAGAACGUCGUGAGACAGUUCGGUCCCUAUCUGCCGUGGGCGCUGGAGAAUUGAGGGGGGCUGCUCCUAGUACGAGAGGACCGGAGUGGACGCAUCACUGGUGUUCGGGUUGUCAUGCCAAUGGCACUGCCCGGUAGCUAAAUGCGGAAGAGAUAAGUGCUGAAAGCAUCUAAGCACGAAACUUGCCCCGAGAUGAGUUCUCCCUGAGACUAUAAGUCUCCUGAAGGAACGUUAAAGACGAUGACGUUGAUAGGCCGGGUGUGUAAGCGCAGCGAUGCGUUGAGCUAACCGGUACUAAUGAACCGUGAGGCUUAACCUUACAACGCCGAAG
rnacentral:rRNA from 1 species